CUGUAGCUCAGAGGUUAGAGCAGGGGACUCAUAAGCCCAAGGUCGUAGGUUCAAAUCCAACCAGA
rnacentral:ncRNA from 12 species